rnacentral:tRNA from 1 species
GCCGGUGUAGCUCAGUUGGUAGAGCGCAUCCUUGGUAGGGAUGAGGUCGUGGGUUCAAGUCCCAUCGCUGGCUCAA